rnacentral:rRNA from 1 species
GUAGGUGGCAAGCGUUGUCCGGAAUUAUUGGGCGUAAAGCGCGCGCAGGCGGUUCUUUAAGUCUGAUGUGAAAGCCCACGGCUCAACCGUGGAGGGUCAUUGGAAACUGGAGAACUUGAGUACAGAAGAGGAAAGCGGAAUUCCACGUGUAGCGGUGAAAUGUGUAGAGAUGUGGAGGAACACCAGUGGCGAAGGCGGCUUUCUGGUCUGUAACUGACGCUGAGGCGCGAAAGCGUGGGGAGCAAACAGGGAUUAGAUACCCUGGUAGUCCACGCCGUAAACGAUGAGUGCUAAGUGUUAGGGGGUUUCCGCCCCCUUAGUGCUGCAGCUAACGCAUUAAGCACUCCGCCUGGGGAUACGGCCGCAAGGCUG